GACGAACGCUGUCGGCGUGCUUAACACAUGCAAGUCGAGCGGAGCGGCGAACGGGUGCGUAACGCGUGAGUAACUGCCCCCCCCUCUGGGAUAACAGUUGGAAACGGCUGCUAAUACCGGACAGUGGGGGAUGACUCGCGUCCUAUCGGCUGUUUGGUGGGUUAGUGGCCUACCAAGGCGACGACGGGUAGCCGGCCUGCGAGGGCGAUCGGCCACAUUGGGCUGAGCUACGGCCCGAACGCCUUCGGGAGGCAGCAGUGGGGAAUAUUGCGCAAUGGGGGAAACCCUGAUGCAGCAACGCCGCGUGCGGGAUGACGGCCUUCGGGUUGUAAACCGCUUUCAGCCAUGACGCGGUAGUGGCAGAAGAAGCACCGGCUAACUACGUGCCAGCAGCCGCGGUAAUAC
rnacentral:rRNA from 1 species